UGACUUCAAUCUUACUCGGCUAUGGUGAGUUGUUUUUUAAAACCAUUAAUUGUUAUAGCACAGUGGGCACUCUCUUUUCGUUGUUUACACGUUUCUUUCACUAUAUAGAAGCAAGAAAUGGAUUGGUUUCUCACAUGCUUCCAACUUAAAAUAAAAUUUGAGACAUGGUUUCUCCAGAAACUAUAUUUUGUGAAUUUUUUUAAUUAUAAUUAAUAUGUUUCUUGGUUUGUAGAUAUUGGAGUAAUGAGUGGUGCA
rnacentral:misc_RNA from 1 species